CGAACCGUCCAAGCCAAGCUGCCUACGUUGUUGACCGGCUGCUAGCCACCGACGACGACGUGCUCUCACAGGAAACGGUUCAGGAAUUCGUCAACGGUGGUGUACUUGACGUCAGGGAACAGAGCCGUGGCCUCCACGCCGAAAGAUGGCUCGAUCUCGAAGUUGGUGUGGUCACCCUUCACAAAGGCGGAGUGGCAAAUAGAGAGCAUGACGUUGAGAGGGAUUGGCGCCUCUGAAAGAGAGAAGCAAUUGGGUUAGCAGACGGGCUAACAGGUCAUGGAAGUAUUACGCACAGAAAGGAAGUUCCUAAGCACCUUGGAUCUGCUUCAGGACUUCUUCUUCUGGGACGUAGACCCUCUCGAAGGUCUUGCCGACCUUCUUCUCCCAGAGGGAAAUGAGCUCGUUAUGAGACAAGAUGUUGGCGGAAGGUCUCAGAUAUAGAACCUUGUUCAGGGUUCUCGGAUCAUCCACUGCUUUAAUUGUGUAUGUCCCGAUGUCGUCUUCAUUGAGAAAGAUCGCUGUUGUAGGAGGAAAAAAAACGCCAUUAAAUAAGAGAUGGCCAUAUAUUUUACAUCUUGCAAAAGAAGACGAAGAGGAAUUCACGCCAUACCUUUUGUGUUCCCGUCACCUAAGAUGACAACCUUGUCCGUGGGAGGACCAGUGGCUCCUGCCUGUCCCAAUACCGGGAGGAAAUACCCACCGAAGAAGUUGGAAGAUACAAAGGUGUAAGGGAUCCCCGAUGCCUCAACAGCCCUUCUAAUUUGUUGCUUGACGACAAAGGUCGACUUUGCUGGCUCCACAGCAUGGCUUCGGUCUACGUCGUUGCCAAACUCCGAUGGAAGGUACCUCUGCGA
rnacentral:lncRNA from 1 species